rnacentral:rRNA from 1 species
UUUAUGGAGAGUUUGAUCCUGGCUCAGGAUGAACGCUGGCGGCGUGCCUAAUACAUGCAAGUCGAGCGAACGGAUGAGAAGCUUGCUUCUCUGAUGUUAGCGGCGGACGGGUGAGUAACACGUGGAUAACCUACCUAUAAGACUGGGAUAACUUCGGGAAACCGGAGCUAAUACCGGAUAAUAUUUUGAACCGCAUGGUUCAAA